UGGUCAAGUUAUUAAGGGUGCAGGGCGGAUGCCUUGGCACUAGGAGCCGAUGAAGGACGUGAUAAGCUGCGAUAAGCUUCGGGGAGUUGCACGUAAACUUUGAUCCGAAGAUUUCCGAAUGAGGAAACUCACUUAGAGUAAUGUCUAAGUAUCAUUAAGUGAAUACAUAGCUUAAUGAGGGGAACUCAGGGAACUGAAACAUCUAAGUACCUGAAGGAAGAGAAAGAAAUUCGAUUCCGUAAGUAGCGGCGAGCGAACGCGGAUUAGCCCAAACCAAUAAAGUUUUCUUUAUUGGGGUUGCGGACAUAUCAUAACGAAGAGGUAUCGUAAUUGAAGAGGUUUGGAAAGACCCACCACAGAAGGUAAUAGUCCUGUAUGUUAAACGAGAAGACGUUAGAUAUGAUCCAGAGUACCACGGGACACGUGAAACCCUGUGGGAAGCAGGAGGGACCACCCUCCAAGGCUAAAUACUACCUAG
rnacentral:rRNA from 1 species